UUCACUGGGUUUACUGGUGAGUUCUGCUUUAGAAGCACCGUCCUAUUUCAGACAUGGACCUCAAUAUAUGUGUAGCACUUCAUAUGAAUUAAUUCACAUUGCUUUUUCCAGGAUCUUUAACACUGUCGUAGUCACUGACCUUUCAUUCUUAACAUAUGCAGGUGACAGUUAUCAGCAAUCCAUCCACUCAAUCCAGGACAGUCCAGUCCAGGCUCUACAAGGAGACGGCGUGACUCUCUCCUGCAACUACUCUUCAGCAGACUACUUCUUCUGGUAUCGGCAGUACCCCAGCUCACCUCCCCAGUUCCUUAUCAAAGAAUACAUGGAGCUAUCUGGAUUUACCUUGAAAAAGGACAGUGUUUAUCGUGAGGUUCUCACUCCUGUCAAAAAGGAAGAGAACGGUUUAGAAGGUACGACCGUUACUCUGUCUUACAGGCUCUCUAGAGAUGCUACUCCUGGCGAUGAUUUAUUCUGGUACCAUCAGCAUUCCGGAGAACCUCCAGAGUUCCUGCUGUACAUCUCAGGGCUUGGUAUCAUCAGGACAGCUGAGUCUCUUGGUUCUAUUGAACUGACUGAAGAGAAGACUGGAGUGGAUCUGAAGAUCUCCUCUGCUGCAGUGACAGACUCUGCUCUGUACUACUGUGCUCUGAGGCCCACAGUGACAGGAAACACAGACUCCCUGUCCAAACACCUGCCGAGCGUAAAACACACUUCCCUCUCCCCCUGA